CACGGGUGAGUAACACGUAUCCAACCUGCCGUCUACUCUUGGCCAGCCUUCUGAAAGGAAGAUUAAUCCAGGAUGGCAUCAUGAGUUCACAUGUCCGCAUGAUUAAAGGUAUUUUCCGGUAGACGAUGGGGAUGCGUUCCAUUAGAUAGUAGGCGGGGUAGCGGCCCACCUAGUCAACGAUGGAUAGGGGUUCUGAGAGGAAGGUCCCCCACAUUGGAACUGAGACACGGUCCAA
rnacentral:rRNA from 1 species